CAUUGUUUUUUCCAUCGAUUUUCCUUCAAUUUGACGUCACGAUUUUCGUCGACGCAGUUUGACAGUUCUCUUCAGUUGGUCUUGUUUGGACUUGAUCAAAUCAGAGAAACUUUGAACCGAAUCGAACCAGUUUACGUUGUUGAAAAGUUUCGUGUGGAUUUUGGCCGGUUGAUUGAUUUCCUGAUUUCGGCCUUCGUGGUGGAGGUGGAGGAGAACGGGUCACAUUGUUACUCCGGCGGGCCAUGCCGGAAGACGGGAAGGGGAGCACCCAGUCUGUGAUCGAGGAAGCGGAUUGGUGUUUAUUGGGAGGUGGCGAUGCGUGGUUUUUAUACGGUAACCAAAAAUAUUCCAAUCGAAUCCUGCUGACAACCCAGCGUUUCCGUGUUGUCCCACGGAACGGAAGCUGUAACGACCGCAAAAACACCUACACCAGAAGUGCGUAAACCAACGUUGUCCCGUAGGCCAUCAAUCUGUGGGAAUUGAAUGGAAGCGCCGCUCCAGUGCCGUAUCUACACGCUGGCGUUGACUCCAAAAGAUGGCUGACAAAGUCCGGCCAAGAUGCCGAAGCGACGAGAUGAGCUGAAAGGCCAACCGGAAGACAACGCCAAAAACCACGUGAAGAUCGCGACACACAAUAAGUAAAAUUAAUGAAUGUUUGUGAAAUCGAGUGAAUAAGA